UGGGGGAUAUUGCACAAUGGGCGAAAGCCUGAUGCAGCGACGCCGCGUGGGGAAUGAAGGCCUUCGGGUUGUAAACUUCUUUUGCUCUGAACAAGGCGCACCAUGGGGUGUGUUGAGUGUAGGGGUUGAUUAGCGCCGGCUAACUACGUGCCAGCAGCCGCGGUAAUACGUAGGGCGCGAGCGUUGUCCGGAAUUAUUGGGCGUAAAGGGCUUGUAGGUGGCUGGUUGCGUCUGUCGUGAAAGCUCAUGGCUUAACUGUGGGUUUGCGGUGGGUACGGGCUGGCUUGAGUGCAGUAGGGGAGGCUGGAAUUCCUGGUGUAGCGGUGGAAUGCGCAGAUAUCAGGAGGAAUACCGGUGGCGAAGGCGGGUCUCUGGGCUGUUACUGACACUGAGGAGCGAAAGCAUGGGGAGCGAACAGG
rnacentral:rRNA from 1 species